CCUACGGGAGGCAGCAGUAAGGAAUAUUGGACAAUGCUCGCAAGAGUGAUCCAGCCAUGCCGCGUGCAGGAAGAAUGCCCUAUGGGUAGUAAACUGCUUUUGAACUAGAGAAAAUCCCAGUACGUGUACUGGGCUGAUAGUAUAGUUAGAAUAAGCAUCGGCUAACUUCGUGCCAGCAGCCGCGGUAAGACGAAGGAUGCAAGCGUUAUCCGGAUUCAUUGGGUUUAAAGGGAGCGUAGGUGGACUGAUAAGUCAGUGGUGAAAUCUCCGAGCUUAACUCGGAAAUUGCCAUUGAUACUGUUGGUCUUGAGUACAGUUGCUGUGGGCGGAAUAUGACAUGUAGUGGUGAAAUACAUAGAGAUGUCAUAGAACACCGAUUGCGAAGGCAGCUCACAAAGCUGUAACUGACACUGAGGCUCGAAAGUGCGGGGAUCAAACAGGAUUAGAUACCCUGGUAGUCCGCACCGUAAAACGAUGAUUACUCGCUGCUAGGGGGCAACCUUUAGUGGCUUAGCGAAAGCGAUAAGUAAUCCACCUGGGGAGUACGCCGGCAACGGUGAAACUUAAAGGAAAUUAGACGG
rnacentral:rRNA from 1 species